GACGUAGGGCGCGAGCGUUGUCCGGAUUUAUUGGGCGUAAAGAGCUCGUAGGCGGCUUGUCGCGUCUGCUGUGAAAACUGGAGGCUCAACCUCCAGCCUGCAGUGGGUACGGGCAGACUAGAGUGCGGUAGGGGAGAUUGGAAUUCCUGGUGUAGCGGUGGAAUGCGCAGAUAUCAGGAGGAACACCGGUGGCGAAGGCGGGUCUCUGGGCCGAUACUGACGCUGAGGAGCGAAAGCGUGGGGAGCGAACAG
rnacentral:rRNA from 1 species